UGGGAAAGCCACUACUUUCUCUUUUCUGAU
rnacentral:piRNA from 2 species